rnacentral:rRNA from 2 species
GGGUUGUGAGGUUAAGCGACUAAGCGUACACGGUGGAUGCCCUGGCAGUCAGAGGCGAUGAAGGACGUGCUAAUCUGCGAAAAGCGUCGGUAAGGUGAUAUGAACCGUUAUAACCGGCGAUGUCCGAAUGGGGAAACCCAGUGCAAUUCGUUGCACUAUCGUUAACUGAAUACAUAGGUUAACGAGGCGAACCGGGGGAACUGAAACAUCUAAGUACCCCGAGGAAAAGAAAUCAACCGAGAUUCCCCCAGUAGCGGCGAGCGAACGGGGAGCAGCCCAGAGUCUGAAUCAGCUUGUGUGUUAGUGGAACGGUCUGGAAAGUCCGACGGUACAGGGUGAUAGUCCCGUACACCAAAAUGCACAGGUUGUGAACUCGAAGAGUAGGGCGGGACACGUGGUAUCCUGUCUGAAUAUGGGGGGACCAUCCUCCAAGGCUAAAUACUCCUGACUGACCGAUAGUGAACCAGUACCGUGAGGGAAAGGCGAAAAGAACCCCGGCGAGGGGAGUGAAAAAGAACCUGAAACCGUGUACGUACAAGCAGUGGGAGCACCUUCGGGUGUGACUGCGUACCUUUUGUAUAAUGGGUCAGCGACUUAUAUUCUGUAGCAAGGUUAACCGUAUAGGGGAGCCGCAGGGAAACCGAGUCUUAACUGGGCGUUAAGUUGCAGGGUAUAGACCCGAAACCCGGUGAUCUAGCCAUGGGCAGGUUGAAGGUUGGGUAACACUAACUGGAGGACCGAACCGACUAAUGUUGAAAAAUUAGCGGAUGACUUGUGGCUGGGGGUGAAAGGCCAAUCAAACCGGGAGAUAGCUGGUUCUCCCCGAAAGCUAUUUAGGUAGCGCCUCGUGAACUCAUCUUCGGGGGUAGAGCACUGUUUCGGCUAGGGGGUCAUCCCGACUUACCAACCCGAUGCAAACUACGAAUACCGAAGAAUGUUAUCACGGGAGACACACGGCGGGUGCUAACGUCCGUCGUGAAGAGGGAAACAACCCAGACCGCCAGCUAAGGUCCCAAAGUCAUGGUUAAGUGGGAAACGAUGUGGGAAGGCACAGACAGCCAGGAUGUUGGCUUAGAAGCAGCCAUCAUUUAAAGAAAGCGUAAUAGCUCACUGGUCGAGUCGGCCUGCGCGGAAGAUGUAACGGGGCUAAACCAUGCACCGAAGCUGCGGCAGCGACACUAUGUGUUGUUGGGUAGGGGAGCGUUCUGUAAGCCUGCGAAGGUGUGCUGUGAGGCAUGCUGGAGGUAUCAGAAGUGCGAAUGCUGACAUAAGUAACGAUAAAGCGGGUGAAAAGCCCGCUCGCCGGAAGACCAAGGGUUCCUGUCCAACGUUAAUCGGGGCAGGGUGAGUCGACCCCUAAGGCGAGGCCGAAAGGCGUAGUCGAUGGGAAACAGGUUAAUAUUCCUGUACUUGGUGUUACUGCGAAGGGGGGACGGAGAAGGCUAUGUUAGCCGGGCGACGGUUGUCCCGGUUUAAGCAUGUAGGCUGGUUAUCCAGGCAAAUCCGGAUAAUCAAGGCUGAGGUGUGAUGACGAGGCACUACGGUGCUGAAGUAACAAAUGCCCUGCUUCCAGGAAAAGCCUCUAAGCAUCAGGUAACAUCAAAUCGUACCCCAAACCGACACAGGUGGUCAGGUAGAGAAUACCAAGGCGCUUGAGAGAACUCGGGUGAAGGAACUAGGCAAAAUGGUGCCGUAACUUCGGGAGAAGGCACGCUGGUGUGUAGGUGAAGUCCCUGCGGAUGGAGCUGAGACCAGUCGAAGAUACCAGCUGGCUGCAACUGUUUAUUAAAAACACAGCACUGUGCAAACACGAAAGUGGACGUAUACGGUGUGACGCCUGCCCGGUGCCGGAAGGUUAAUUGAUGGGGUUAUCCGUAAGGAGAAGCUCUUGAUCGAAGCCCCGGUAAACGGCGGCCGUAACUAUAACGGUCCUAAGGUAGCGAAAUUCCUUGUCGGGUAAGUUCCGACCUGCACGAAUGGCGUAAUGAUGGCCAGGCUGUCUCCACCCGAGACUCAGUGAAAUUGAACUCGCUGUGAAGAUGCAGUGUACCCGCGGCAAGACGGAAAGACCCCGUGAACCUUUACUAUAGCUUGACACUGAACAUUGAGCCUUGAUGUGUAGGAUAGGUGGGAGGCUUUGAAGCGUGGACGCCAGUCUGCGUGGAGCCAACCUUGAAAUACCACCCUUUAAUGUUUGAUGUUCUAACGUUGGCCCCUGACCGGGGUUGCGGACAGUGUCUGGUGGGUAGUUUGACUGGGGCGGUCUCCUCCCAAAGCGUAACGGAGGAGCACGAAGGUUAGCUAAUCCUGGUCGGACAUCAGGAGGUUAGUGCAAUGGCAUAAGCUAGCUUGACUGCGAGCGUGACGGCGCGAGCAGGUGCGAAAGCAGGUCAUAGUGAUCCGGUGGUUCUGAAUGGAAGGGCCAUCGCUCAACGGAUAAAAGGUACUCCGGGGAUAACAGGCUGAUACCGCCCAAGAGUUCAUAUCGACGGCGGUGUUUGGCACCUCGAUGUCGGCUCAUCACAUCCUGGGGCUGAAGUAGGUCCCAAGGGUAUGGCUGUUCGCCAUUUAAAGUGGUACGCGAGCUGGGUUUAGAACGUCGUGAGACAGUUCGGUCCCUAUCUGCCGUGGGCGCUGGAGAAUUGAGGGGGGCUGCUCCUAGUACGAGAGGACCGGAGUGGACGCAUCACUGGUGUUCGGGUUGUCAUGCCAAUGGCACUGCCCGGUAGCUAAAUGCGGAAGAGAUAAGUGCUGAAAGCAUCUAAGCACGAAACUUGCCCCGAGAUGAGUUCUCCCUGAGACUAUAAGUCUCCUGAAGGAACGUUGAAGACGACGACGUUGAUAGGCCGGGUGUGUAAGCGCAGCGAUGCGUUGAGCUAACCGGUACUAAUGAACCGUGAGGCUUAACCUUACAACGCCGAAG